rnacentral:rRNA from 1 species
AAAUGCGAUACUUGGUGUGAAUUGCAGAAUCCCGUGAACCAUCGAGUCUUUGAACGCAAGUUGCGCCCGAAGCCAUCAGGCCAAGGGCACGCCUGCCUGGGUGUCACCGA